GGUUAAACGGCGUCGUGGAGAAAAAGGCACCGUGUCACAUAUAAUGUGUGUGUGUAUGUGUGUGUGUGUGUGUGUGUGUGUGCGCGCGGAGGGGGAAUCGCCCAGCGCUCAGCCUGCGAGAGAUCUCGGAGCCUAUCACAAUAAGCACGAUCGCGUUCAUACAGCUACGAGAGACCGAGAGCUGCUGGCCACCGAGAAAUGACAUAGAAACAACCACCAAAAAAUAGCUAAGCCAAUGACAAAUAGCGACCCGGGUGACAGAGACAGAGAAUUUUGUAGGCGGAGAAGAGGAGGUGAAUGGCCAGCUCCGAUCACAGCAUUAGGCUGGGCUAUCUAUGGGGAGGGUAUUUACUCGGUUUUGGGGUGUGUGGGAGGAGAGGAAAAACACCUACAAAUAGCUGGCACGAUUCAAAUGGUCUCGGAUUAUGUUUCCCCCCCUCCAGUCCAGGAAGGAAACUCGCGUUUAAACGCUACGAGGGGGAAAAAAUAGCUCUGUGCAAUAGGGGAUGAAGAGCACUUUGGUCAUUCGUUAAUACCCAAAGGGGCACAGAUGAUAAAUGUGACAGCAUGUGGCAGCACGAUCGUCACCCGGGUUCCUGCAAAAGGCGGCUCCGUAUCGCGACACGGGAAAUUAAGCGAUUGAGUGGGAGGUGGAGAAAGCGCUUAAACGGAGAAGUUAAUCUGCUAACAUGGAGAGGAAACAAACGGAGAAAAAAAACCCGAAGUGCAAAGCACCAAGCUUUUGGGCUCAAAGAGCUUAGACCAUCAUGGCUACGAAAACUACUGCGGCUCAGAGAGUAUGUAAUUCUGGAGCUCCUUAAGGAAAAAAGUAGUGCGAUGCAACAUCAGAACAGUGGCCAAGUGAUCUUCUCAACAGCACCCAUGAACUUCAACCUUGAACGGAAGAAGACUCAUCAAAUGGUGAGAAAAGAGUGUGGUUGUCAUGACUUUUAG
rnacentral:lncRNA from 1 species